CACAUAUACCCUCACCCCCACGCCUGCCGAGCUGAUGCCAAGUGCCCCGAACAUCAAGCAAAGGCCCUGCUCAGGUCAGGCUGUUGCCUGUGGGUGGAGAGGAGGGGCCCAGCGUAGCCACAUAUCCAAAGUUGUACUUCCCAUCGACCCUGCACUGAGCCAGCCAUGGAGGGGAGACUCUGGGCCGUGUGCCUGCUCUUCCUCUAUCUCCUCCUCCUCCUCUGGUCAGAGGGAACAUCUCCUGAUGUGA
rnacentral:lncRNA from 1 species